rnacentral:sRNA from 1 species
CAAAUUUAGCGAAAUUUCUUAAUAUUUUUUG